UGGGGAAUUUUGGACAAUGGGCGCAAGCCUGAUCCAGCAAUGCCGCGUGCAGGACGAAGGCCUUCGGGUUGUAAACUGCUUUUGUACGGAACGAAACGGCUCUCUCUAAUACAGGGGGCUAAUGACGGUACCGUAAGAAUAAGCACCGGCUAACUACGUGCCAGCAGCCGCGGUAAUACGUAGGGUGCAAGCGUUAAUCGGAAUUACUGGGCGUAAAGCGUGCGCAGGCGGUCUUUUAAGACAGAUGUGAAAUCCCCGGGCUUAACCUGGGAACUGCAUUUGUGACUGAAAGGCUAGAGUACGGCAGAGGGGGAUGGAAUUCCGCGUGUAGCAGUGAAAUGCGUAGAUAUGCGGAGGAACACCGAUGGCGAAGGCAGUCCCCUGGGCCUGUACUGACGCUCAUGCACGAAAGCGUGGGGAGCAAACAGG
rnacentral:rRNA from 1 species